UACGUAGGCAGCAAGCGUUGUUCGGAAUUACUGGGCGUAAAGAGUGUGUAGGCGGUGCUCCAAGUCUGGUGUGAAAUCUCCCGGCUUAACUGGGAGGGUGCAUUAGAAACUGGAAUGCUAGAGGAUGGGAGAGGUAAGCGGAAUUCCUGGUGUAGCGGUGAAAUGCGUAGAUAUCAGGAGGAACACCUGUGGUGUAGACAGCUUACUGGACCAUUUCUGACGCUGAGACACGAAAGCCGUGGGUAGCAAACAGG
rnacentral:rRNA from 1 species